rnacentral:rRNA from 1 species
AAUUUAAUUAUUACUGAGAGAGUUUUGUUUAAUGUUUUUUUUAAUAAAAUCAUUUUUAUUUAAAGUUAGUUUUUGUAUAGGAUAUAGAAAAAAUUUUUAGUGUGGUAGAUAAAUUGUAUUGUGAAAGAUUUAUGAAAUAUUUUGAAAAAUUAGUUUUAUGAAAGUAGAUUUAAUUGAUUGUACCUCGUGUAUCAGGGUUUAUUAAAAUAAUUAUAAUGACUAUUAUAUUUCCCGAUUUGAAGAGAGCUAAUUAGUUAUGAUAGUUAAUGUGGAAUAAUUAUUAUUAAUAGCUAAUUAGUAAUGAAACGUUAUCCGUUCUUUGAGAUAUCUGGUUUUUUAAGAGAUGAAUUUAAUUCAGGCACUAUUGAUAAUUAUAAAAUUAAUUUUUUUUUAUUUUUGAUUUUAAUGCUAAUACUUCUGGGGAUAAGCUUAGAAGUAUAUUUUAAAAUAUAUUUAUUUAAUGAAGUUUUGUAGGUUUAGAAUUUGCCCCCAAAGAAGGAUGUAAUAAUUUAUCUUCAUUUAAUAUUUAAUUUUUUGCUAUAUUUAAAUUUUUCAUUAAAAUGUUAUUUUGAGCUAAGUAAAAUUAGUAAUACUGAUAAAAUUAGUAUAAAGUGUUGUUGGAAUUUAUUUGGUGGCAAAGGUUGUACUAAGGAAUUCGGCAAAUUAAUGCUCGCCUGUUUAACAAAAACAUGUCCUCUUGAAUUAUAAUAUGAGGUCUGACCUGCCCACUGAGAGUAUUCUUGAAGGGCCGCGGUAUUUUGACCGUGCAAAGGUAGCAUAAUCAUUAGUCUUUUAAUUGAAGGCUAGAAUGAAUGGUUGGACGAGGUAUUGACUGUCUCGGUACAAAUGAGAUUAGAAUUUAACUUUUGAGUGAAAAGGCUUAAAUAGUUUUAGAGGACGAGAAGACCCCAUAGAGCUUUAUAAUAAGUUUUUUAUAAUUUAUUUAGUAGUUUUUUUAUUAUAUUAAAUUAAUUAUUUUGUUGGGGUGACAGGAAGAUUUAUUAAACUCUUUUUAUUAAUUAAACAUUUAUGUAUGAUUUGUUGAUCCAUUUUUAAUGAUUAUAAGUCUAAGUUACCUUGGGGAUAACAGCGUAAUCUUUUUCGAGAGUUCUUAUCGACAAAAAGGGUUGCGACCUCGAUGUUGGAUUAAGGGUAAUUUUGGGUGUAGAUGUUCAAAAUUUAGGUCUGUUCGACUUUUAAAUCCUUACAUGAUCUGAGUUCAGACCGGUGUAAGCCAGGUCGGUUUCUAUCCUUAAUAAUAUACAAUGUCUUAGUACGAAAGGACCAGGCAUUGGGAAUACAGAUUCUUAAAUUAAAGAUUAAUAUUAAUGUUGAAU